rnacentral:lncRNA from 1 species
AAACACGGACUCUUGUCUGUUACUUUAAGUAACUCAUAGUCUAGUCUGGGAAUUUCAUGUUCCUAGAAUGAUUAGAAACAAAGAUGUCUAAGGAAGGGGAGUGGGAAAAUGGCUCCUUAAAAGGCUUUUUGAGAAGGAUUCUGAAAUCACAUCAGAGCUGAGUGAGGACAAGUGCCCUAAUGAACUGCUGGUGUUUGCCAUGGCCAUGGAGAAGAGAGGGCAGAGGCACCUGAGCCGUUGCCUUAAUCUUCACCCUAACAGGCAUAUUACAACAUGCAUCCUCAACAUGCAGAGACCUAUUUGAAAUUCGCUCCUUGGAGGAGUAGAGAAGAUAGGAAGGCGUGUUACUCGCCUGGGGUGACGAUCUCACCGAACUCCAACCCUUAGUUUUACCCUGG